GCUGGGCGUGCUGGCGGGCGCCUGUGGUCCCAGCUACACAGGAGGCUGAAGCAGGAGAAUCACUUGAACCCGGGUUGGGAGGUUGCAGUGAGUUGAUAUCGUGCCACGGUACUACAGCCUGGGUGACAGAGCAAGACUCUGUCUCAAAAAAAAAAAAAAAAAAAAAUUUCUGUCAGGAGACUGAGGAAAGAAAAUUGCUUGAGGCCAGGAGUUCAGGGCUGUAGUAUACUAUGAUCCCUCCUGUAAAUAGCCACUGCAUGCCAGCCUGGGUGAUACAGUGAGACCCUGUCUCU
ensembl:misc_RNA Metazoa_SRP Metazoan signal recognition particle RNA